AGGGGCAGAUCUGGGUGUCUGGGAGCGCCAGCAGCUUGAACGCCCGUGAGGCACAGGGAGGUGGCUAAGUAAACAGGUAUCUCUAUGGAUUCCGACUAGUUGAAAGGUAGCUCUUGAGUGCACAAAUUUAAAAUUUCACUUAGUUGGGCCUGGUGACUCUCACCUGUAAUACAGCACCCUGGGAGGACUGAAGCAGAAGCAUGGCAAGUUUGAGCCCAGCCUGGGCAAUCUAGCAACUCAGUGAGGCCUUGUCUCAAAAAAAAAAAAAAAAAAAAAAAAAAAAAAAACUUAAAAGGGGUUGGAGAUGUAGCUCUCUGAAAAGGCCUGGAUUCAAUUCCAAUUACUGCAAAAAUUUUUUUUUUAAAAAUCUUCAUAGAAGGCUGGGGAUUUAGCUCAGUGCAUAAACACCUGCUUGGCAAGUGUGAGGUCCCUAGUUCGAUCCCCAGUACAAGUAAAAAAAAAAACAUGUUCAUGAAAGAAAUGUAAUAUUGUCACCAUGGCAUGGUGACAAUAAUAGUUGCUGUACUGCUCAACUUCUUUUUGUUGCCAGUGACAACACAGUUCACUUGUUCUAGUGAUGCUAGUAAUACGCGAGUGCUCCUUGGUGCCAGGUAUGGAUGUGAGUGCUUUCCACCUAUAGAGGUGAGUGUUGGUGGUGUUCCCGUGUCACAUCUGAGGCCUCAGGCUGAGUGACUCCUAUCAUGAGUGUUGGCCCCCAGGGACUUACACCCACUGCAUCUGCCCUGGGUGGAAAGCAGCCAGGAUAGGAUGGAGAAUGAAAACAAAAGAAACGUCAAGGGUGAUGUGUGGUGAAAGCCCAGGCACAACUGACACAGAGGCAAAAACUGUCACCUAGAACUUGUUUCCCUUCUGCUGGAGUUUGUAUCUGAAAAGCCCCCAGCUUGGUGCUCUGGGCAGCGGGUGGACCCUGUAAGGGAUGGGGCAUGGUGGGGGAUCUUCAGGCCAUUGAGGAGGAGCUCUCAGUGGAGAUAAUGAGACUGGCCCCUUCCUCUUCUUUUCACUUCCUGCCAUGAGGUGAGUGACUGUCCUCUGCCAUGCUGUCCAGCAUGAGACUCCACAGACUCAAAAGCAACAGGGCCAAACCAAGCAAGGCAGUACACUCCUGUGAACCCAGCAUUUGGGAGGCUGAGGCAGGAAGAUCACUGGUAGUUUGAGGACAGCCUGGGCUAAAAGGUCAGCUUGAAUUAUAUAGUGAGACCACAACAGGGCCAGCCAGUAAUGGAUUGAAACCUCAUAACCUGUGAGCCAAAUAAAUUUUUUGUCGGCUGGGCAUGGUGGUGCAUAUAAUCCCAGUAUUUUGGAGGAUGAGGCAGGAGGAUUGCCAUGAAUUCCAGGCCAGCCUAAGCCUCAUAAGCAAGUUUAAGGCAAGCCUGAACUGCGUAGUAAGACUCAGCCUCAAAUAACAAAACAAAAACUAAAAACAAAAAUCAAAGAGCCUUUCUCAUUUAUAAGUUGAUUACUUAUAAAUGAAACUUGGCAAGUGGAUUUAGCUCAGCUGCUAAAUGCCUGCCUAGCAAGAACAAGAUUAUGAGUUUGGGGCUGGGGAUUUAGCUCAGCGGCAUAAGGGCCUGCCUUGCAAGCGGGCAGUCGUGAGUUCGAUUCCAAUAAAAAGGAAAAUGACAAAAAAAAAAAAAAAAAAAAAAAGAUUAUGAGUUUGAUCCCUGGUAUCAAAAAAAAAAAAAAAACAAAACAAAAAAAAAGUUGAUUAUUUUAGGUGUUUCUUACAGUAACAGCUGUGUAACAUACCCUUCUGUUUCCUCUUAGUUUUUGCUCCUUUCUGAGGAUGUGGAUAGGUUUUUUUGCUGUCAAGACUGGGCAGCCUGGGGCUGGGGAUUUAGCUCAGCGGCAUAAGCGCCUGCCUUGCAAGCAGCCAGUCAUGAAUUCGAUCCCUGGUACUGAUAAAAAGGAAAAAGACAAAAAAAAAAAAAAAAAAGACUGGGCAGCCUACACUAGCUGACACCAGUGGAAGGAAAAAAAAAAAAAAAAAAAAAAGCAGAAGCCUCAUGUUGUCCCUGUUGGUUUUGUGAAUUCCUGCACCUAACCUUGACCCUAACCACCCUCAGGGGCUGGCAUCUGUGAAUUGAAUCUGGCAGCCACCCCAAAACAGUAGGGUCCAGAGGGCCAAAGGUGAUGAGAUCUAUCUUGGUUAAUGUUCUCUCGUAGCUGAGACAAAAUACCUGAUGCGCAAAAUUAAGGAAGAAAAGGUUUAUUUAGCUCACAGUUUGUGGCAGUUUCAGUCCAUAAUCUGCUGACUCCGAGUGUCACAUGGCAGAGAGCAACAGUUCAUAGCGAAAAACAGCAAAAACAAUAAGAGCAAGAAGGAGGAGCUUGAGAGACUUUCCUUUGCUUAUAUUGUAUGUAGACCCCCAGGUUGAGGGUAGCACUCACAUCCAUAAUCCCAGCAUUGGACCAUAAUUUAAUCACAAAUUCUAGAUGCCUGCUCCUAUGACUGUGUGAAACUUUGGAGGGACAUCCGGACACACACCGUAACACGGUCUUAGUCACUUACCUUGCUGCUGAGACAUAAUACCAGAUAUCCACAACUUGAAUGAGGACAAGUUUAUUUUGGCUCGCGGUUUUAGAUGUUUAAGUCCAUAGUUGGCAGCCUCCAGAUAGGAAAUGACUUGGUGGAAAAACAGAAAAACUGCUCAAGGUUUUGGCAGCCAGGGAGCAGAGAGAGAAGGGAGGAGCUGGGGAGAGAGAUAAACCAGGCCAGGCCCCCAGUGACAUACCUGUUCCCCUAGACUUCCCCUAAGAGCACGUCAGCUAUGAGGCCUUCAUACUCCAGUCACCUUCCAAAAGCAGGUGAGGCUCUCUGGGGAUGUCUAGAUCUAAACCAUAACAAGUGGUUCCUUGGAGGAAGACUUGGGUACGCUCAGCAGAAAGAGGGCUAUGGCAGAAACAGUGUGACAGGGACACUUGUAGCCAUUUUUCCUCUUUGGCCUCAGUUUCCUCCUAAAAAAAAGGCAAUGAAGGGGCUGGGGAUUUAGCUCAGCGGCAUAAGUGCCUGCCUUGCAAGCAGGCAGUCGUGAGUUCGAUCCCUGGUACCGAUAAAAACAGAAAAAAAAAAAAAAAGGCAUUGAAGCUUGGCAUGGUGACUCAUGCCUCUAAUCUCAGCACUCUUGAGAGGCUGAGAUAAGAGAACCUCAAGUUCAACUCCAGCCUGAACCAUAAUUAAGACAUCAAGAACUUUCUGUGGCCCCUCAUGGUGUUCUUAAGCUAUGACAGUUCCAUUCUGUGCCUCCUACACCCCCAGUUUUCACAAAGCUGGCUCCCAACAUAGUCAGAUAUGCAAUUGGUUCCUGCGGCCCUCACCAUGUGGCUAAUCCCCCGUUCCUACUUCUGCUUUGUUAUGUUAAUCUCCUUUAAUUCCUGUUUCUUGUCCAUCCUGACUUUACCACUUCUCUGCCAGGCCAGGCACAGUGGUUUUGCUCUUGGGCCAUCACUUAGGGUCACUCAGGCUCUGAGCCUCGUGCUUGUCUGUGGGGCAAUGCCAUCACUCAUCUCCUCAGGGUUAGCCUUCAAGUCUCAGGUCAAAGUUCAACUUUUACUGAACCUGAGGGAAAGGAGGCCUGAGGUGGUGAUGGUUGCAGUACAGGGGUCUUGCACCCUGGGGCAUUACCACUGAGCUAGUUGCAGGCCUUUUUAUUUUUUAUUUUGAGGCAGAGUCCAGCUACUUCACUGAGUUGCCCAGGUGGGUCUCAAAUUUGUGAUCCUCCUGCUUCAACCUCUCUUAGUGCUAGGAUUAUUGACUUGUGCCAUCAAGCCAAGAUUAGGUCUGCAUUUCGAUGCUCUGUUUUGUACGUUCUUCACUCUGAUCCCUCACAUGAUGUGUUAUUCUCUUGCUGCCUGUCUCCCUGACCACUCUUUGAAAAAAUGAUGUUUUAAAUUCCAGUUGGAAUUUCCAGGGUUUAAUAAUUGCCUCGCCUAUAAUUUAUAUGAAAAGAAUGAGUACUCUCCUUAUCCCCAGAAAACCAGUCUAUCAUGAAAGAUCCUCAGCAAAAAGGGCAGUGGUUAGCAGAAGUCUGUUCUGUCUGUUCCCCACUGUCCACUUUGUCUCUCCCCUCCAAUGGCAAUGCCGCAUCUCAGAGAGGUAGGAGAUGAGGGCAGGGCAAACCAGUCAGCCAACUGUCAAUCAUGAGGGCGCAUGUGCAGAACACAGAAACCCGGAUGAGAAUACAGACUACCAAUCAGAAAAGGACCUUUUCGAUUCCUCAUUUACAUGUGUCAUGAAACCAAGCGGGGCUUGACAGAAUAGGGUAACUGACAUGGGGUGAAGUGACAGAACAGCUGUCCCAGAUGCCUUGUUUGCAUGAGGGAGAAGCAAUGUGGAGAUACAGAGAAGCCCGGCCAUUACUCCUCGGCAGUUCUGUGAGCCUUCUCACUCUGCUCUCACUCUGCAGAAAUUACUUCUUUCCCACCUUCAGGAGCUUGCUUUGCUCUUCAGACGACUGCUAUGCUGUGCCUGGCACUCAAGCUUGCAGAUCUUCACUUGGUCCAUUAGGGAGGAUUCUACAGAUUCUGAUAACACGACUGAUCUGAUACAGAGCUUUGCUGCAUAGAUGAAGACGUAGAUUCUAAUGCUGACUGAGCCCCUGGACACUGCCGUCUGUGCACUGAACUGGUAAUGUUCAUACUGCUGACAGGACCUGCAGGUGGGCUUAUUCUACCAGUACUUUUUUUUUGUCUUUUUCCUUUUUAUCGGUACCAGGGAUCGAACUCACGACUGCCUGCUUGCAAGGCAGGCACUUAUGCCGCUGAGCAAAAUCCCCAGCCCCCUCUACCAGUACUUCUAUUCUGUGUUUGAGAUUUUUUUUUUUAAAACAGGGUCUCACUUUAAACAGGGUCUCACUCUAAUUCAGGCUCAUUACAUAGGCCAGGCUAGCCUCGAACUCAUGGCAAUCCUCCUGCCGCAGUCUCCUGAGUGCUGGGAUUACAGAUGUGCACAACCAUGCCUGGCUUGAAGAUGCUCUUUAUAGCACACUGAACACACACCAUUUGUACGAGGUUUUCCAUAAAAUCUGCAGCCAGUGGAACAAAGCAUAGGCACUUGGCUAUGAUUCCUUUCCUGAGCCAUGUUCCUGGUGUACACCUGACGGCAGUCUCUCGGCCUGAUGUGCCACUGCUGAUGGUCACCUCUGUGAGUGGGGACAGGUGACGCUGCAAACCCUGCUCCCUCCGCUGUUUACUAAACUUUUCCAUGUGACUGUGGGGCUGCUGACCCACUGCAGAGAGUACCAGGAGUGGCCUGCCCACCCCUGGCCAACCCUUGUUCAUUUCUUUAACAAAAAUUACUCUCCAGGAAGCAAAAUAAAACUUGCCUUCAUAUCCUUAAGGGAAGAGGUUUAUGCACCAGGAGGCUUGGGUUGACCUUGUAUUUCUGUGAUCUGGUCUACACCAUAUGACUGCUCAUGGAGUUUGAGGAGUUUGAGGAAUUUCUCAUGAUGGGAAAA